rnacentral:rRNA from 1 species
UACGUAGGGAGCAAGCGUUGUCCGGAAUCAUUGGGCGUAAAGCGCGCGUAGGUGGCCUCAUAAGUCCGCUGUGAAAGUCAAAGGCUCAACCUUUGAAAGCCGGUGGAUACUGUGGGGCUAGAGUACGGAAGAGGCGAGUGGAAUUCCUGGUGUAGCGGUGAAAUGCGCAGAUAUCAGGAGGAACACCCGUGGCGAAAGCGGCUCUCUGGGACGGUACUGACGCUGAGACGCGAAAGCGUGGGGAGCAAACAGG